CCGCGGUUCCUGCCCAGGGCGGUGAGGGGCGGGAAGCGGCGGCGGGGAUCCGCUCGGGCGGCUGGGCCUGCCCCUCGCUCCUGAGGACGGCCCGCAGGUUGCUGUCCCUUUGGAAGUUUUACAGGGAGGUAUGAGUGUGUCCUAGCCCUUCCUACCUACAGUGCCCAGGCUCUCCAGUUGUACUUCACGCUGUUGGGGAAGCAGGAAGAUCUUUCGGGGAGGUCAGCUGCCUGAGCAGUGCAAUUUUCAGAACUACAUAUUGUGGACUCGGAUCUUGGCUGGGCUGCGGGCGGCUUUGACCUUGACGAGAUGCAGCUCUGCCUUGAGAGAAAAAUGUAAACAGCUGAGAGGAACUAUCUUGAAAGAAAGGAAAAUAAGAAGCAGAAAAAGAGGAUGUCAGUGACUUAAUCGAUGUGGAAGACCUGUCAUCUGCUGAAAGCAAAAAUGCCACAAAGAAAAAUGAAAACAAUUAUUCCAACCUUACUGUUAUUAUCAAAGACAGCGAUAGAAGAAUUGAGUCCAAGAAUAAUAAACAAUUCCUAACUAAUAAUGCUGAAGAAAUAAAAGUAUGAGACUUCUAUUGCAGACUUGAAGAGCCAGGAUUUCUUGCUCAGGGAAAGCUUUCCACCAGAAGCGGAAUCUUUAGCUUCUACAAAAUUGCAAAAGG